rnacentral:rRNA from 1 species
AUUGAACGCUGGCGGCAGGCUUAACACAUGCAAGUCGAGCGGUAGCACAGGGGAGUUUGCUCCCUGGGUGACGAGCGGCGGACGGGUGAGUCAUGUCUGGGAAACUGCUUGAUGGAGGGGGAUAACUACAGAAAACGGUAGCUAAUACCGCAUAACGUCGCAAGCCCAAAGAGGGGGACCUUCGGGCCUCUUGCCAGCAGAUGUGCCCAGAUGGGAUUAGCUAGUAGGUGGGGUAAUGGCUCACCUAGGCGACCAUCCCUAGCUGGUCUGAGAGGAUGAACAGCCACACUGGAACUGAGACACGGUCCAGACUCCUACGGGAGGCAGCAGUGGGGAAUAUUGCGCAAUGGGCGCAAGCCUGAUGCAGCCAGGCCGCGUGUGUGAAGAAGGCCUUCGGAUUGUAAAGCACUUUCAGCGAGGAGGAAGGUGGUGAGCUUAAUACGUUCAUCAAUUGACGUUACUCGCAGAAGAAGCACCGGCUAACUCCGUG